rnacentral:rRNA from 1 species
GACGAACGCUGGCGGCGUGCUUAACACAUGCAAGUCGAACGGUGAAGCGAGUGCUUGCACUCGUGGAUCAGUGGCGAACGGGUGAGUAACACGUGAGUAACCUGCCCAUCACUCUGGGAUAAGCACUGGAAACGGUGUCUAAUACUGGAUACGACCAACCCUUGCAUGGGGUGUUGGUGGAAAGAUUUAUCGGUGAUGGAUGGACUCGCGGCCUAUCAGCUUGUUGGCGGGGUGAUGGCCCACCAAGGCGACGACGGGUAGCCGGCCUGAGAGGGUGACCGGCCACACUGGGACUGAGACACGGCCCAGACUCCUACGGGAGGCAGCAGUGGGGAAUAUUGCACAAUGGGCGAAAGCCUGAUGCAGCGACGCCGCGUGAGGGAUGACGGCCUUCGGGUUGUAAACCUCUUUCAGCAGGGAAGAAGCGAAAGUGACGGUACCUGCAGAAGAAGCACCGGCUAACUACGUG